rnacentral:rRNA from 1 species
CCUACGGGAGGCAGCAGUAGGGAAUUUUCGGCAAUGGGCGGAACCCUGACCGAGCAACGCCGCGUGAACGAAGAAGUUAUUCGGAAUGUAAAGUUCUUUUAUCAGGGAAGAAAGAGAAAUUUGGCGGUACCUGAAGAAUAAGCCCCGGUUAACUCCGUGCCGGCAGCCUCGGUAAUACGUAGGGAGCGAGCGUUAUCCGGAAUUCUUGGGCGGAAAGGGUGCGUAGAUGGCAUAGUAAGUCUUUAGUAAAAAGGCGGGGCUCAACCCAGUAGGGCAAAAGAAACUGGAAAGCUAGAGUGUGAGAGAGGCAAGUGGAAAUACAUGUGUAGCGGUGAAAUGCGUAAAUAUAUGGAAGAACACCAGUGGCGAAGGCGGCUUGCUGGCUCGAUACUGACGUUGAGGCACGAAAGCGUGGGGAGCAAACAGGAUUAGAUACCCCAGUAGUC